UCUCUCCAGGUUGACCUCGGAUCAGGUAGGGAUACCCGCUGAACUUAAGCAUAU
rnacentral:rRNA from 1 species